GAAGAGACACUGCAGGGAGCUGCCUGGCACUAAGUUCUGUGAUCCAAAGGGCAGCUUCCAAUUCCCGAUUUUUCUUGAUGUGGGAUGCAGCGUGAGCCAUCCUGGAUACAGAUAAUACCUGACCAAAUGUGACGGCUCAGGAAAAGGUACAACAAUCCUUGGCAACCUUGCACAACCAGUGUUCUGAGCAACUGUGUUUUCUCUCUCUCUGCUUGUAGUCACCGAUGAGGAAUUAAAACCGUGACAGUGAAUUCCAGGAAAUGGGACUUUGUGACGAACAGCAACUGUGGACUAACAGUGCUUCAGAGCAGCUGGAUGAGCAGCAGUACAAGAGGAAGCUUCUCACUCUGCUUGGACAGAAAACCUGUGAAACCACUGAUGGCUGCAAAGUGCCUCCUUCACCACUGCAUCUGUACAUGGCGAUGCACUGGCUGCAAAGCUGACCUGUGACUGAAAAUUCCAGUUACGAUCUCCGCAGUCCACACAGCUCUGGGCAAAACAGUUGCUCUUGUAACAAAUUUAAAUGCCAGAGUUUGCGCUGACAAGGUUACAGGGAGACUUGUAUCCAGAAAGUUAAAUACAAUGAGAAGAGUUUCUAUUUGACCACAGAGUUUGCUAUAUUAGCAAAUACUGAGUUUUUCUGAAGAUACACUCCUGCUCAUAAGGAGGAAGGACCCAAUUGCAGGAGAAUGCAAUUUGCCAG